UGAGCGCACGUCGCUUUUGUUAAAACCCUCUUUCUUUCAAAAUGGCGGAUCCAGAGCCAGGAUCUUCUUACCAUUACAACAUCGAUAUAAAAGAAGAAGUUAUGUCAGAUUAUUCCGAUGAUUCAACUGAAAGUAACUACGAAAAUGGUGAUAACAAUAAUUCCAUUAUUGACCGUUUGCUUGAACCAUUCGUUGCUUCUGAUUCCGAAGUUGACGAUCGCGAGACAUCUGUGCGGGAAGAGGAUACGAGCCCAACUGCGGAAAAAAAGCGGAAAUGUAUGAAAGUCGAAGAGGUCAACUGCAACUGGAAUAUAAGAAAAAUAA